rnacentral:lncRNA from 1 species
GAGAGCUCUCAUUUUCCCCCCUUGCUCGGGAUGGUGCCACAGGAGGCUGUGCGGGCCCCGCUCCGCUUCGAAUGGCUGGUCCUAUAGUACCCCUCCUCAGGAAUGUCUCCCCAGUGCAAGGACAAAGACUGAAGAGACUGCUAUAUUGAUGGACUCUCAAGCCAACUAUGAAGUUGAAACAAAGAAAGUGAUCACCUGAAGACACCUCCUCUGCUAAGAAACACCCCCAAAUUGUGCAGCUUCUGCCACUAGAACUCUCAGAACAAGAGACAAUCUUUUCAAGAAACAGAAAAACUCAAUAAUGACAUCUAGAUUUUCAUGAGCCAAGAACUUUCCCUUCCUCAUGUGUAUUCCUCUGUUUGUACUUAAAUUCAUGUGACAUUCAUUUUUUUCCUAGUAUGGAUAUGCUUAUUAAUGCACUUGUUUCAAAAUCCCAAAUUGCACAAAUGUGUUAAUAUUUUAAGAAACAAAAUGAAUCCUACAAGGAGAAUGAUUUUUAGCCACACAUAGGGUUGGAUCUUGAGAGUGACCUACAGAAUAAAAGUACUUUUAAAAUAAAGUAGUCAGAGGCUAUUCAAAGGGUAAAAUAAUCAUAGUACCACAUUGGUCCACUUGACACUAACCAAUCGAUCAUUUUUUUUUAAUCAAGAAAGCUAGAUUCUAUCAGAUAAAAUCACUGCUUCUAAAGAGUUUAAAUCUAGUUAGAAAAAGUUAUAGAAAUGUUUGCAAAGAUAAGUAACAGAUAGAGUCAGUAGAGGAUAAGAUCAAAAACAAAACCAAGCAAAAGAUGAGUUCAGGGGAGUUUGCCAUCAAGUUGGCAAAACUGACUUACUUAGGGAAGAAAGUUAUAAAACAGGAAAAUAUGAGAUGAACCUUGAGUGAUGUGGAAGAUUUAGAUAAAUGGAAAGGAAGGAGAAAAUGGAGUUCUUUAGGUGGUUGUAAUUGGAGGAGGAAAUGAAUACACACAUCUUGUUGACUUAAACCCAGACAUUCAGCAGCUCUCUAUACAUAUCUGGAAAAGACUGCACAGUCACCUCCUGUCUCUCACCCCAGGUAUUACUUAGAAUUAUUAUCAUAUUUCCCUUCCUUUAAAGUAAGUAAGGGUGAUUGGUGACAAUAUGGAGAACUAUGAUUUUUCCAUUAACCUAAUAAUAAUUGGUAUUUAUUGAGUUCUGUUAAGCAUUUUACAUAUUAACUCACUUAAGCCUUUCAACAGCCUUGCAAAAUAGGUAUUAUUAUCCCCAUUUUACAGGCAAGAAAACUGAGGUUUAAGUAACUUGCCGAAGUGCCAUAUACAGGGCUCACAUUCAGUAUUGCAGUUGCAAAGCUCAUGAUCUAUAGUGCCAAGUUGCAAUAUUGUAGUCAAUGUCACAAUUAUUACCCCUUUUUAUAUUCCUUGAUAUUUUUCCAUGGCAAACAAUUAGCUAUUUCAUUUAAUAAUCACCUAAAACUUUUCAGUCUUCUGAUUAAAAUUACGCUGGAGUGAUAGAAUGUAUUUUCAUGAUAGAAAUUGGGAAAAAAAAUGGGGAAUGAAGUUUAUCAGCAUUUCAGACUUGUUUUUUUUUUUUUUUUUUGCAAGACUUUGAUGAGAUUGUUCACUUUUGUCUAUGUAAAAUCCCAAAUCCUUGAGAAUAAAAAAGGGGGAGGUUUAAGUCACUUGUUGCAAUGCCCUUUUUAAUAGAGGCAAUAAAUCUAAAGGCCAUAAAUUUAGAGUGACUUACAGAAGAUCGAACUUUGGAGUGUGGCAGAGUAAGGGAUGGAAACCGGGCCCUCCAGUUCACUAUCAGUAGCUUUUGCACUGGUCUGCCCUUCCUAAAUUAAGUAUGCACUUCAAUUUGAUGAGUGGAAACAGUCUAUCUGGGCAGUAACCAGGGAGCUUUGUGCCUAGUAGAUUGCUUCUGUUCUGCACUUCUUUGGUUUCCCACCUCAAUGUAAAAAAUAGCUAGCAAUGAAGUCCAGAAGUUGUCAAUGGUUCAUCCCCAGAAGAAUGCAUAAUGUCCAAAGUUGUAUGUGUAUGAUGUCUUCAAUGGUAUUAAGUUAUUUCAAAUUCUUAGUUCACCUACAUAAAUCAUUUCUAACAAGCAUCUUCUUAACCAACUUUAUGCACAGUGUAUGUUUGUAAGUGCUUCUGCACGAAUGUUUAUACAUGACUGUUUCCAUAGUACUUAUGUUUUUAAAAAUAUUCAGUCAUUUCCUACUAUAAUCCUCAUGUAUCCAUGUAACUGACUCAAAAAUACUUCAGCCACAGAAAGCUAAAACUGAGCAAAUCUCAUUCUUCUUUUCCAUCCCCUUUGCAUGUGGCUGGCAUUUAGUAAUGAUUAAUAAUAUGGCCAGCUGAAUAACAGAGGUUUGAGACACAAUUCUUUCUCAAAGGAGUCAGCUAAGCUGGGUCUACUUAUGGACAAACAUCUAAAUGUGUGGAAGUAUCUGAUAUUUGACAAUGGUAAAUUUCCACUUAGCUAGCUAGCAUUGUCAGACUUCAAUCUCCUCAUGGCUCUGGCCGUCCUGUUUUAAGCAUGAUAAUUGUUGGCCACAUCUCACAUAGUUCUCAUUGAGUGAGUUCAUAAAUAAACAGGGUUUUUUUUUUUUUUUAAAGAGCAGCCAAGCACAAAGUGUGACUUUGUUGACAUUUUAUGUGACUUUGUCAUAUGUUCCUAACCCCCAAUAAAAGCAAUGUUGCAUCAACUGUGAA